AGCGAACGCUGGCGGCAGGCUUAACACAUGCAUGUCGAACGGUCCUUCGGGAUAGUGGCGGACGGGUGAGUAACACGUGGGAACGUACCCUUAGGUUCGGAACAACACAGGGAAACUUGUGCUAAUACCGGAUAAGCCCUUCGGGGGAAAGAUUUAUCGCCUUUGGAGCGGCCCGCGUCUGAUUAGCUUGUUGGUGAGGUAAUGGCUCACCAAGGCUACGAUCAGUAGCUGGUCUGAGAGGAUGGCCAGCCACACUGGGACUGAGACACGGCCCAGACUCCUACGGGAGGCAGCAGUGGGGAAUCUUGCGCAAUGGGCGAAAGCCUGACGCAGCCAUGCCGCGUGGAUGAUGAAGGUCUUAGGAUUGUAAAACCCUUUCACCGGGGACGAUAAUGACGGUACCCGGAGAAGAAGCCCCGGCUAACUUCGUGCCAGCCGCCGCGGUAA
rnacentral:rRNA from 1 species